UGGGGAAUUUUGGACAAUGGGCGCAAGCCUGAUCCAGCCAUGCCGCGUGCGGGAAGAAGGCCUUCGGGUUGUAAACCGCUUUGUCAGGGAAGAAAUCUUCUGAGUUAAUACCUCGGGAGGAUGACGGUACCUGAAGAAUAAGCACCGGCUAACUACGUGCCAGCAGCCGCGGUAAUACGUAGGGUGCAAGCGUUAAUCGGAAUUACUGGGCGUAAAGCGUGCGCAGGCGGCUUUGUAAGACAGAGGUGAAAUCCCCGGGCUCAACCUGGGAACUGCCUUUGUGACUGCAAGGCUUGAGUGCGGCAGAGGGGGGAUGGAAUUCCGCGUGUAGCAGUGAAAUGCGUAGAUAUGCGGAGGAACACCGAUGGCGAAGGCAAUCCCCCUGGGCCUGCACUGACGCUAAUGCACGAAAGCGUGGGGAGCAAACAGGAUUAGAUACCCUGGUAGUCCACGCCCUAAACGAUGUCAACUGGUUGUUGGGAAGGUUCCUUCUCAGUAACGUAGCUAACGCGUGAAGUUGACCGCCUGGGGAGUACGGCCGCAAGGUUGAAACUUAAAUG
rnacentral:rRNA from 1 species